GACGAACGUUGGCGGCGUGCUUAUCACAUGCAAGUCGAACGGAAAGGCCCUGCUUUUGUGGGGUGCUCGAGUGGCGAACGGGUGAGUAACACGUGAGUAACCUGCCCUUGACUUUGGGAUAACUUCAGGAAACUGGGGCUAAUACCGGAUAGGAGCUCCUGCUGCAUGGUGGGGGUUGGAAAGUUUCGGCGGUUGGGGAUGGACUCGCGGCUUAUCAGCUUGUUGGUGGGGUAGUGGCUUACCAAGGCUUUGACGGGUAGCCGGCCUGAGAGGGUGACCGGCCACAUUGGGACUGAGAUACGGCCCAGACUCCUACGGGAGGCAGCAGUGGGGAAUAUUGCACAAUGGGCGGAAGCCUGAUGCAGCAACGCCGCGUGCGGGAUGACGGCCUUCGGGUUGUAAACCGCUUUCGCCUGUGACGAAGCGUGAGUGACGGUAAUGGGUAAAGAAGCACCGGCUAACUACGUGCCAGCAGCCGCGGUGAUACGUAGGGUGCGAGCGUUGUCCGGAUUUAUUGGGCGUAAAGGGCUCGUAGGUGGUUGAUCGCGUCGGAAGUGUAAUCUUGGGGCUUAACCCUGAGCGUGCUUUCGAUACGGGUUGACUUGAGGAAGGUAGGGGAGAAUGGAAUUCCUGGUGGAGCGGUGGAAUGCGCAGAUAUCAGGAGGAACACCAGUGGCGAAGGCGGUUCUCUGGGCCUUUCCUGACGCUGAGGAGCGAAAGCGUGGGGAGCGAACAGGCUUAGAUACCCUGGUAGUCCACGCUGUAAACGGUGGGUACUAGGUGUGGGGUCCAUUCCACGGGUUCCGUGCCGUAGCUAACGCUUUAAGUACCCCGCCUGGGGAGUACGGCCGCAAGGCUAAAACUCAAAGGAAUUGACGGGGCCCCGCACAAGCGGCGGAGCAUGCGGAUUAAUUCGAUGCAACGCGUAGAACCUUACCUGGGUUUGACAUGGAUCGGGAGUGCUCAGAGAUGGGUGUGCCUCUUUUGGGGUCGGUUCACAGGUGGUGCAUGGCUGUCGUCAGCUCGUGUCGUGAGAUGUUGGGUUAAGUCCCGCAACGAGCGCAACCCUUGUUCACUGUUGCCAGCACGUUAUGGUGGGGACUCAGUGGAGACCGCCGGGGUCAACUCGGAGGAAGGUGGGGAUGACGUCAAGUCAUCAUGCCCCUUAUGUCCAGGGCUUCACGCAUGCUACAAUGGCUGGUACAGAGAGUGGCGAGCCUGUGAGGGUGAGCGAAUCUCGGAAAGCCGGUCUCAGUUCGGAUUGGGGUCUGCAACUCGACCUCAUGAAGUCGGAGUCGCUAGUAAUCGCAGAUCAGCAACGCUGCGGUGAAUACGUUCCCGGGGCU
rnacentral:rRNA from 1 species